CCCUGCAGUUCUCGCCUGGUUUCCCACUGAAGCUAAGGCCCGGUCAGUACCUGGCUGGGAGACCUCCUGCGGGAAAACUAAGGUUGUUGCUGGAA
rnacentral:rRNA from 1 species